rnacentral:rRNA from 1 species
UACGUAGGGGGCGAGCGUUGUCCGGAGUUACUGGGCGUAAAGCGCACGCAGGCGGUCUGCUAAGUUUGGAGUGACAGUUGGUGGCUUAACUGCCAAAGUGCUUCGAAAACUGACAGACUUGAGGGCUUCAGAGGGACACGGAAUUCCGGGUGGGGUGGUGAAAUGCGUAGAGAUCCGGAGGAACACCAAAGGCGAAGGCAGUGUCCUGGGGAGUACCUGACGCUCAGGUGCGAAAGCCAGGGGAGCGAACGGG